rnacentral:rRNA from 1 species
AUUGAACGCUGGCGGCAUGCCUUACACAUGCAAGUCGAACGGUAACAGGUCUUCGGAUGCUGACGAGUGGCGAACGGGUGAGUAAUACAUCGGAACGUGCCUAGUAGUGGGGGAUAACUACUCGAAAGAGUGGCUAAUACCGCAUGAGAUCUACGGAUGAAAGCAGGGGAUCGCAAGACCUUGUGCUACUAGAGCGGCCGCAGGCAGAUUAGGUAGUUGGUGGGAUAAAAGCUUACCAAGCCGACGAUCUGUAGCGGGUCUGAGAGGACGAUCAGCCACGCUGGGACUGAGACACGGACGAGACGCCUACGGGAGUCAGCAGUGAGGAAUUUUGGACAAGGGGGGAAAGCCUGAUCCAGCAAUGCCGCGGGCAGGAUGAAGGCCUCCGGGUUGUAAACUGCUUUUGUACGGAACGAAAAGCCCCGGGUUAAUACCCUGGGGUCAUGACGGUACCGUAAGAAUAAGCACCGGCUAACUACGUGCCAGCCGCCGCGGUAA